UGGUGGUGAUGCUCGUGCAAGGCGAGCUCGGAUCCGCCCGCGGCGGGGGAGUAAGCCCCGCCAAGCCCGCCGCCGCCGCCGCUGACAUGGAGAAAUUUCUUGGAGAGCAUCAUCGACGGAGGCAACAGACAAGGCUCCAGCUGCAUCGCGCCGGCCCGCGGGCCUCCCUUUGGCCUCCCCCUCGAGCAAACACAACCCGGCGGCCCUUGAACCCCGGGGUCCGUGUGGCCGGGUUCUGCAUCAUGCGAGGCAGGCAGCAUCCCUGACAGAUGAAAUCUUUCCAGUGAAGGAAGACCCACCACCUCUCAAGGCAGUGUUUUUUUCCUACUGUCAAACAGCUCUCACCAUCAGGAAUUUUCCUUUCAUUUUUGUCCUUGCAAUUUUUACCUAUGGGUUGAGAGGGAGUCCAGGAGUUAAAAAAAAAUAUCACGGAAUGACAGGCCUGUCCUCUGGAGCAUCAGGGAACAAGGCUCCGCCAUUUCCUGCAUGACGUGUAGGAGCUGAGGAUGGGAUGGACACGUGGAUGUCAGAGGGAAGACCUCGGUCAAAGGCAACUGCCUUCAAUGAACUGCCUCAAACUUACCUUGAAAUGAAGGGUAUUAUGUGCAAUGAAUUUAAUACAGUAAUAUUGUCUUUGAAGAAACAUAGGUUUGUGGCUUUGGCAAGCACAUAAGUUCACAUAGCUUUGGAAACUGCAGGACUGUUCAGAAGAGUCUCUAACAGCUUUCUGUGCUUCAACAAAAAGGAAGUAUGUUAUCUUUAAAAAAGUGUGGAGUCUGAGAACAGGGACCCAAGGCAUUUAUGGGAGUACCGUCGCUCCCCAAGAUUUCUAGGGAGAAUCAGACGUCCCCGCCACCUUCCCCCCCUAAGAAGGAAGAGAAGAGCAUGAACACAGAGGAGUUGACGGUAGAUCUGAGGUAGGAGAAAUGUAACCAUCAAGGGGUAGACACCAAAGACUUGGAGUCGGGUUUGCAAGGGUUAAAUAUAUCUGCCCGGGCUGG
rnacentral:lncRNA from 1 species